CACGUAGGGCGCAAGCGUUGUCCGGAAUUAUUGGGCGUAAAGAGCUCGUAGGCGGACUGUUGCGUCCGCUGUGAAAAGCUGGGGCUUAACCCUGGCCUUGCAGUGGAUACGGGCAGACUAGAGGUAGGUAGGGGAGAAUGGAAUUCCCGGUGUAGCGGUGAAAUGCGCAGAUAUCGGGAGGAACACCGGUGGCGAAGGCGGUUCUCUGGGCAUUACCUGACGCUGAGGAGCGAAAGUGUGGGGAGCGAACAGG
rnacentral:rRNA from 1 species